GGGUGAGUGCUCCUAUAUCCUAACCUGACAGCCUUUAAAGCUGCGUCUGGCUUGCACACCCCCGAUCCUAAACAAGUAGCAUUCAGCUGUGCUUCCCAUGCCCCAAAAGGGAAAAGCAUCCAGUUUCUAAAGGGCUCCUCUAAAAAAAAUCAAAUUGAAAUAUAGUGAUGGUUACUUUAAGGCCGGUAAAAAAAGAACGUGUGGCCCUGAAGUCAGCAACCCUGCCUGGACCGUGGCAUUCGUGCCACUGGGUGUUAAGCUACAAUCUCGCUGCUUUAGCUGCAUUCUCAGAGCAGUAUUUCACGUUCGCUGCCAUCGAGACCGCUCACGCUUGGGGUGUAAGUGUGCGCGCAUGUGUUUGCUCUGACCGUGCUCUUGUUACAACGAGACUGAGGAAAUCCAGUCCGUGGUCCACGUGGGUGCAGGAAGGGGAAGAGAAAAUGCAAGGUAGGCCUCAGGUGCUUACAUUCAUAUUUGUAAUACUUAGCACAUGUACACCACUGAUCAGGACAGGUCUAGCAAUCAGACAGAACUUAGUUCUUUACAGUUACAAGGAAAAUCUGGAACAGUUAUAUAGUUAGAAAAAAUACAGUGUACUGAACAAACAUUAUCUCACACGUACAAUCAAUUUAAACAUGGAAAUUGAUUAUAAUUUUGCUAAAAUAUUAACACAAGUAUCUUUUGUGCUGCUAAAAUAUCAGUGUUCCC